GGGCGAUUAGCUCAGCGGUAGAGCACUGUCCUCACACGACAGGGGUCGCUGGUUCAAACCCAGCAUCGCCCACCA
rnacentral:tRNA from 2 species